GAAUUACACAAUAAUUGCAAUACAAAAUAAACACCCGAAUAAAAACCACGCACUAAACCAAAAACUCAUACUUCAAAAAAACACGCACUACACCAAAAAAUACAUUGAAUAAAAUGCACUACACCGUGAAACACACACUGGAAAUUGAGUGUACUUCUUUUGUAAUGGAGUGUGCGUUUUUUAUGUACUGUGUGUUUUACACAAUAAGUACACUGAAUUUCCAGUGUAUGUUUCACGGUGUAGUGAAUUUUAUUCAAUUUGUGUUUUGGUGUAGUGCGUGUUUUUUUGAAGUGCGUGUUUUUGGUGUAGUGUGCGGUUUAUUUUCGCUUUGAAUUACUCAAGAACGACACUGGAAAACAAAUACUGGAAAAAAAUCCACGCAGUACAUCAAAAACACAUAGUGAAAAAAACACGCAACACAC